rnacentral:rRNA from 1 species
UACGUAGGGGGCGAGCGUUGUCCGGAUUUAUUGGGCGUAAAGAGCUCGUAGGCGGUUUGGUAAGUUGGAUGUGAAAUCUCCAGGCUCAACUUGGAGGGGUCAUUCGAUACUGCCAUGACUAGAGUUCGGUAGGGGAGACUGGAAUUCCUGGUGUAGCGGUGAAAUGCGCAGAUAUCAGGAGGAACACCGAUGGCGAAGGCAGGUCUCUGGGCCACUACUGACGCUGAGAAGCGAAAGCAUGGGGAGCGAACAGG